CGGAUUGCAGGCUGCAACCCGCCUGCAUGAAGCCGGAAUCGCUAGUAAUCGCGGAUCAGCAUGCCGCGGUGAAUACGUUCCCGGGCCUUGUACACACCGCCCGUCACACCAUGAGAGCCGGUAAUACCCGAAGUCCGUAGCCUAACCGCAAGGAGGGCGCGGCCGAAGGUAGGACUGGUAAUUAGGGUGAAGUCGUAACAAGGUAGC
rnacentral:rRNA from 1 species